CCCUUAGAUGUUCUGGGCAGCACGCGCGCUACAAUGGUCUUCGCAAACGGAUGCAUUCUCGAAGGAGAAUGCCAAUCUUGGAAUCUAUGCCUUGGUCGGGACAGUUGCUUGCAAUUUUUCGACUCGAACCAGGAAUUCCUUGUAAUCGUGAUUCAUCACAUCACGAUGAAUACGUCCCUGCCCUUUGUACACGCCGCCCGUCGCUCCUACCGAUCGAAGAGUUAGGUGAAUUGUUUUGAUCGAUAAGAUUUGACUAUGGUCAACUCUCGUUGUGAAAUUCUGUGAAUCUGACUGUUUAGAGGAAGGAAAAGUCGUAACA
rnacentral:rRNA from 1 species